GGUUCGAUUCUGGCUCAGGAUGAACGCUGGCGGCGUGCUUAACACAUGCAAGUCGAACGGAAAGGCCCUGCUUUUGUGGGGUGCUCGAGUGGCGAACGGGUGAGUAACACGUGAGUAACCUGCCCUUGACUUUGGGAUAACUUCAGGAAACUGGGGCUAAUACCGGAUAGGAGCUCCUGCUGCAUGGUGGGGGUUGGAAAGUUUCGGCGGUUGGGGAUGGACUCGCGGCUUAUCAGCUUGUUGGUGGGGUAGUGGCUUACCAAGGCUUUGACGGGUAGCCGGCCUGAGAGGGUGACCGGCCACAUUGGGACUGAGAUACGGCCCAGACU
rnacentral:rRNA from 1 species